CAAUUUCCCGGAUUUUGUCAAAGCAAACUGAGAGCAGAAGUGUUGUUGUGCUGACAAGCACAGUACAUCAGCAGGGCCGAGCCUUCAGCUUCACCAAGCAGGAUGCUGCUGCUUGGGCUAACAGAACAGCAAGUUGUCGUUCUCUGUUGGACCAACAUAAGGAAAGAAAAAAGGACAGUCUGAGGGAGGAGCUAAGCCAAUUCCUGAGGAUAAGUUGUCUCUUCCCUGCAUUUUGCCCACUACAAAUGCAGAUGUUGCCUUGUCUUGAAGGGACUUAUCAAAGGCUGACUGAAGGCAGGAGAAAUCCAGUGGGUCUUUGAGCAAAUCCUGAAGAGGCAUCUUCAUUGAAAUCAUCUAACAGCCACUGGACUGAGUCCUUUUUCAGAUGGAUGAUCUAAGGUUAUUCAGGUUCUUUUUAGGCAAAUGAGUCUUCAGGAAGGUCUGGUUCUGGUGCCUGCGAGGUCUCUGUGGCAGCUCUGAUGCCUGCUGUUGGGCUCAGGGUUAGCUGAAGGAGGAAUCGUGGCUAGUGAGGAGAGAAGAGCCCCCGGAGUUGCUGCUGAUCUCCUUAAGGACAGCAUGGAGGUCAGUGCUAAAGGUUUGGAGGGCUACACCUUUAAUCCCAACCUGGAGUUUGUACACUGGUCCUUGGCUGGUUCAUACCAUGACAUGUUGACCUUGUUUCCUG